AGCAGUGACUUGAAGGCGCAGCUCAGAGAAUUGUAUAUUACUAAAGCGAAAGAAGUUGAGCUCAAUGGUAAAAAGUCGAUCAUCAUCUACGUUCCAGUGCCUCAGUUGAAGCAGUUUCAGAAGAUUCCGGCCGGGGAUGGUAGGUUCUGCGCCUACCAUGGUUGUAACGGGUGACGGGGAAUCAGGGUUCGAUCCCGGAGAGGGAGCCUGAGAAACGGCUACCACAUCCAAGGAAGGCAGCAGGCGCGCAAAUUACCCACUCCCGGAACGGGGAGGUAGUGACGAAAAAUAACGAUACGGGACUCAUCCGAGGCCCCGUAAUCGGAAUGAGAACACUUUAAAUCCUUUAACGAGGAUCUAUUGGAGGGCAAGUCUGGUGCCAGCAGCCGCGGUAAUUCCAGCUCCAAUAGCGUAUAUUAAAGUUGUUGCGGUUAAAAAGCUCGUAGUCGGAGGUGUGUCUCGGACGGUCGGUUCGCCGCUUGUCGGUGCUCAACUGGCCGGUCCGGACGUCCUGCCGGUGGGGCCUCACGGCCCCGUCAUCCUUCUUUGGUCCUCUUCACCGAGUGCCUUGGUGGGCCGGCACGUUUACUUUGAACAAAUUAGAGUGCUCAAAGCAGGCCGUUGGUCGCCUGAAUACUGUGUGCAUGGAAUAAUGGAAUAGGACCUCGGUUCCAUUUUGUUGGUUUUCGGGACUCGAGGUAAUGAUUAAUAGGGACGGACGGGGCGAUUCGUAUUGCGACGUUAGAGGUGAAAUUACUUGGAUCGUCGCAAGACGAACCGAUGCGAAAGCAUUUGCCAAGAACGUUUUCGUUUGAUCAAGAACGAAAGUUAGAGGUUCGAAGGCGAUCAGAUACCGCCCUAGUUCUAACCAUAAACGAUGCCAGCUAGCCAUCCGCCGAAGUUCCUUCUAUGACUCGGCGGGCAGCUUUGGUUUCCCGGAAGCUGCCCGCCGAGUCAUAGAAGGAACUUCGGCGGGCAGCUUCCGGGAAACCAAAGCUCUUGGGUUCCGGGGGAAGUAUGGUUGCAAAGCUCAAACUUAAAGGAAUUGACGGAAGGGCACCACCAGGAGUGGAGCCUGCGGCUUAAUUUGACAACACGGGGAAACCUCACCAGGCCCAGACACCGGUAGGAUUGACAGAAUAAGAGCUCUUUCUUGAUUUGGUGGGUGGUGGUGCAUGGCCGUUUCUUAGUUGGUGGAGCGAUUUUGUCUGGUUAAUUCCGAUAACGAACGAGACUCUGGCCUGCUAAACUAGGCGUCGGAAUCUAUUACGCUUCCGACGUAGCAAUC
rnacentral:rRNA from 1 species